rnacentral:rRNA from 1 species
AGAGUUUGAUCAUGGCUCAGAACGAACGCUGGCGGCGUGCCUAACACAUGCAAGUCGUACGAGAAAUCCUGGGCAACUGGGAAAGUAAAGUGGCGCACGGGUGAGUAACGCGUGGGUAACCUACCCUUGGAUUUGGGAUAACUCCGCGAAAGCGGGGUUAAUACCGGAUGAUAUUCCGAUUUCUAUGGGGGUCGGAAUCAAAGGUGGCCUCUGCAUGCAAGCUACUGUCUAAGGAUGGGCCCGCGUACCAUUAGCUAGUUGGGAGGGUAAUGGCCUACCAAGGCAACGAUGGUUAGCUGGUCUUAGAGGAUGGCCAGCCACACUGGAACUGAGACACGGUCCAGACUCCUACGGGAGGCAGCAGUGGGGAAUCUUGCGCAAUGGGGGAAACCCUGACGCAGCAACGCCGCGUGGGUGAUGAAGGCCUUCGGGUCGUAAAGCCCUGUCAGGUGGGAAGAAACAUAUCGGUGCUAAUAUCGCCGAUGUUUGACGGUACCGCCGGAGGAAGCACCGGCUAACUCCGUGCCAGCAGCCGCGGUAAUACGGAGGGUGCAAGCGUUGUUCGGAAUUACUGGGCGUAAAGCGCGUGUAGGCGGUCGGGCAAGUCAGAUGUGAAAKCCUUCCGCUUAACGKAAGAAGUGCAUUUGAAACUACCCGGCUGGAGUACGGGAGAGGAGAGUGGAAUUCCCGGUGUAGAGGUGAAAUUCGUAGAUAUCGGGAGGAACACCAGUGGCGAAGGCGGCUCUCUGGUCCGAUACUGACGCUGAGACGCGAAAGCGUGGGGAGCAAACAGGAUUAGAUACCCUGGUAGUCCACGCCGUAAACGAUGGGCACUAGGUGUAGGAGGUAUUGACCCCUUCUGUGCCGAAGUUAACGCAUUAAGUGCCCCGCCUGGGGAGUACGGCCGCAAGGCUAAAACUCAAAGGAAUUGACGG